GCCCCUGUCAGAGCUCCCCGACGCCUGGUGUUCUGGUUGUUUCUUUUGUCAGCCUGAGUUCCUUAGCAACCUGUCUUCUGGUGAUAUGUCAGUCGUUCCCCCUGCACCAGCAAUUACUGCACUCGAUUUCUACCAAAUUUGGCAAAAGCACAGAAAUAGCAAAGACACUGUCUGCCUGCAAGUUCUGUGGAAAUGGGUGAUUUAGUAAAGCAGAGAGGUUCUGCUUUUGUACCUUCCCAGAGAGAGGGGCAGGACUGGCUCCAGCCCUCUCCUACCGCCUGGCAAGCAGCACGGCCUGCCCAGCCUGCCAGGAUGAGAGCCCAAAACAGUCUUUCAACAUUAUCACGUGCCUAAGCAGACUAGAUCAUGGAGCCAAUGCUUUUCUUGGGAUAUUGUGGACUUGAAAUCAGAACUGAAAUAAAAUUGAGCUGUUGUGUUGCCUCAAUGCGGUGAUGACAUUCUGUUCCAGAUGUCCGCAACAAUGACCUCAUCUAAAACUGCAAUUCCCUGACACUUCAGUCAUUUUCAGACAAAUUCUGAAAAAAAAAAAAAAAAAAAAGGAAAAAGAAAGAAAGAAAGAAAAAAAAAAAAAAAAA